CCUACGGGCGGCUGCAGUGGGGAAUAUUGGACAAUGGGCGAAAGCCUGAUCCAGCCAUGCCGCGUGUGUGAAGAAGGCCUUCGGGUUGUAAAGCACUUUCAGUGGGGAAGAAAGCCUUGGGGCUAAUACCCUCGAGGAAGGACAUCACCCACAGAAGAAGCACCGGCUAACUCCGUGCCAGCAGCCGCUGUAAUACGGAGGGUGCGAGCGUUAAUCGGAAUUACUGGGCGUAAAGCGCGCGUAGGCGGUCUGAUAAGCCGGUUGUGAAAGCCCCGGGCUCAACCUGGGAACGGCAUCCGGAACUGUCAGGCUAGAGUGCAGGAGAGGAAGGUAGAAUUCCCGGUGUAGCAGUGAAAUGCGUAGAGAUCGGGAGGAAUACCAGUGGCGAAGGCGGCCUUCUGGACUGACACUGACGCUGAGGUGCGAAAGCGUGGGUAGCAAACAGGAUUAGAUACCCCUGUAGUC
rnacentral:rRNA from 1 species